GUGUGUCUGAGAUGGGCACUGAGUAACUGGGAUUAGGUUGGUUUGGAAAAUUAAUUAAUUGUUUUUUUACACAUUUUCUAGGUACAGGACAAGUCAGUAUGGGCAACAUUUCUAGCACUGCUUUGGCUGCAUGGUUUUAAUUCACAUCAAAAAUAUGAGUGGGAAUUUGUGGCUCUGAAAGCAGUGUCCUGGAUUAAAACACAGACAGGCCUAAAUCCCAAUUUGUUCCUACAAGCUGGAAAUGACUUGCUGGGAUGUCAGGUGGACCUGCAAACUCUUGGCCUGUAAUCUUAACAUGUAAUGCAUCAGAUGAUUUUUGCAAACAAAUGUGCUGAUAUAUAAUAUGUUAAGUAUUUGAUACUUCAAAGAGGUGGCUUUCUAUUUCUACUUUUUCUUGACUUAUGCCAAAGAACUCCAGCAUUCCCACAGUGUCUUCUUCUGUAACUUUAUAUAUGUAAGAUAAUAUGGAGGUAAGCAUUGAU